GUGCCAGCAGCCGCGGUAAUACGUAGGAGGCGAGCGUUAUCCGGAUUUAUUGGGCGUAAAGUGGGCGUAGGUGGUCUUUCAAGUCAGAUGUGAAAUCUCCCGGCUCAACUGGGAGGGGUCAUCUGAUACUGUUGGACUUGAGUAUGGCAGGAGAAAACGGAAUUCCCGGUGUAGGUGAAAUGCGUAGAUAUCGGGAGGAACACCAGAGGCGAAGGCGGUUUUCUAGGCCAAAACUGACACUGAGGCCCGAAAGCGUGGGGAGCGAACAGGAUUAGAUACCCUGGUAGUCCACGCCCUAAACACUGGGUACUAGGUAUAGGGAGUAUCGACCCUCUCUGUGCCGAAGCUAACGCUUUAAGUACCCCGCCUGGGGAGUACGGUCGCAAGA
rnacentral:rRNA from 1 species